AAGUGCAGCUAAAGGACCAAAUUGUUCGUAAGGCGUAACUUUGAGCCAUAAGUACUAGGACCAGACUAUUGUUUAGAAUUCUUCGCGUGCACUGAACGUUCGCAACAUUUUGGAUUUUGCGUCACAUCACGGAAAGUGCGAAUGGUAUAAGGCGUUGUCACCAGACGCCUAUAUAAACGGAUGCAGCUGCAAGUAGGGAAUCUGAAGCUUUUACGAGUGUUAACAAUGAAAAAGGCUUCCAGCUUCCAUGUUUGGAUCCUUUUGGUCGUAUAUAUUUUUCUUCUGUCCCCAUUGCAAAGGGAAAAUCGUUCACUUGCUGCGGUGGAACAUCGUCGUGUGGAAAUAGAGGAAAGAGGUUAUUACAUGUACCGCCCUCAGCGUCCAACAACACGUCCACCAAGAACACCAUCAUCUACACGAACUCCAUGCGGUAAGAAAGCAAAUCAGACUUCGAAGGGAUAAUACUGUACCUGCCAGUGCCUGGUGGACCUCAGCCUCUAUUUGACGUGCAACUGAGUUGACUGCUGUGGAAUUUACCAAUAAAACA